rnacentral:piRNA from 1 species
UGUUCAGGUAGCAGGACCAGGACAGGUUGGU